CGUGCUUAACACAUGCAAGUCGAACGAUGACCCGGUGCUUGCACCGGUGAUUAGUGGCGAACGGGUGAGUAACACGUGAGUAACCUGCCCUUGACUCUGGGAUAAGCCUGGGAAACUGGGUCUAAUACCGGAUAUGACUCCUCAUCGCAUGGUGGGGGGUGGAAAGCUUUUUGUGGUUUUGGAUGGACUCGCGGCCUAUCAGCUUGUUGGUGAGGUAAUGGCUUACCAAGGCGACGACGGGUAGCCGGCCUGAGAGGGUGACCGGCCACACUGGGACUGAGACACGGCCCAGACUCCUACGGGAGGCAGCAGUGGGGAAUAUUGCACAAUGGGCGCAAGCCUGAUGCAGCGACGCCGCGUGAGGGAUGACGGCCUUCGGGUUGUAAACCUCUUUCAGUAGGGAAGAAGCGAAAGUGACGGUACCUGCAGAAGAAGCGCCGGCUAACUACGUGCCAGCAGCCGCGGUAAUACGUAGGGCGCAAGCGUUAUCCGGAAUUAUUGGGCGUAAAGAGCUCGUAGGCGGUUUGUCGCGUCUGCCGUGAAAGUCCGGGGCUCAACUCCGGAUCUGCGGUGGGUACGGGCAGACUAGAGUGAUGUAGGGGAGACUGGAAUUCCUGGUGUAGCGGUGAAAUGCGCAGAUAUCAGGAGGAACACCGAUGGCGAAGGCAGGUCUCUGGGCAUUAACUGACGCUGAGGAGCGAAAGCAUGGGGAGCGAACAGGAUUAGAUACCCUGGUAGUCCAUGCCGUAAACGUUGGGCACUAGGUGUG
rnacentral:rRNA from 1 species